UGGGUCCAUUCCCCCCGAACCGAUGAAUUGUAGGAGUCAAGCUGUUCCCGGCCAACAAGAAUCUAGAGCCCAAACUGUGCUAGCUUCAGCAAGGCUACAAUUCUAUGGCACUUCCUGCCUCAGCUGCCUGCCAGCCCUGUUAGACAUUUCCCCAUACUACAUAACCUCUCAGGAAGUGCUUGAUUCCACCUUGGGAACACUCCAUGCUAAAGCAAGCAAGAGAAAUAUUAGCACUUUUUCUAUCCCACUGGAUUGUAAAACAGCACUGAAGUAAAAUCCCCCAAAGAACAAUAUGGCAUUUUUAAAAAGAUCCCCAUCCUUAGCAACACUCAGUGGAGAUGAACUUGACCCAAUGAGGCACCAUCCAAGAGGCACCCUUCACACCACAGCUACUGCAGAUUUUUCUAUUCACUGGCCAACAGCAGUAAGGUUCCUUCUCCACACCUCCUGGCUUUAUACUGAAGUCUCAGCUAGAAGACCAGGCUCACUGUCAGCUCAGCCCGCUUCAUCUUCAAACCCAGACUGGAGCCCUUUAGCAAGACAGUGGUGGUGUCUGGAAAUACCACAGGGCACCGUCUUGUUGGUUCCUUUUCGUGAUCCUAACAGCUGUUUAUACUCGGUAAUGCCUGACGCCAAACACUGGGCAAAGCAAAAGGGUGACACCAU
rnacentral:lncRNA from 1 species